UACGUAGGGGGCAAGCGUUGUUCGGAAUUACUGGGCGUAAAGCGCACGUAGGCGGAUUUGUAAGUCAGGGGUGAAAUCCCGGGGCUCAACCUCGGAACUGCCUUUGAUACUGCAAAUCUCGAGUCCGGAAGAGGUGAGUGGAAUUCCUAGUGUAGAGGUGAAAUUCGUAGAUAUUAGGAAGAACACCAGUGGCGAAGGCGGCUCACUGGUCCGGUACUGACGCGUGAGGUGGACGAAAGCGGUGGGGAGCCAAACAGGG
rnacentral:rRNA from 1 species